UACAUCGGAACAUGUCCUGUAGUGGGGGAUAGCCCGGCGAAAGCCGGAUUAAUACCGCAUACGAUCUACGGAUGAAAGCGGGGGACCUUCGGGCCUCGCGCUAUAGGGUUGGCCGAUGGCUGAUUAGCUAGUUGGUGGGGUAAAGGCCUACCAAGGCGACGAUCAGUAGCUGGUCUGAGAGGACGACCAGCCACACUGGGACUGAGACACGGCCCAGACUCCUACGGGAGGCAGCAGUGGGGAAUUUUGGACAAUGGGCGAAAGCCUGAUCCAGCAAUGCCGCGUGUGUGAAGAAGGCCUUCGGGUUGUAAAGCACUUUUGUCCGGAAAGAAAUCCUUGGCCCUAA
rnacentral:rRNA from 1 species